AGGGCGUUUGGAUCUGAACAUCUUGGUGUCAACUAUGGGAUUUUAUUUACGCUCGGGAACUCCGUACCGUCUGUUGUCGCUGCCUUCAUCCAACAGCCUAUUCUUCAUUUCAUGUCUUGGAAUGUGAUCUUCAUCUUGACCGGAGGAUUUUCGACAUUAGGUAUGGUCCUCGCCAUGUUCUUCAACGUCAAAACACCAGAUGGUGUCGACAUAUAGUAAGAGGAUUUGUUUUUGCUUCUACGAUGUCUUUUAACAACAACAAUUAAAAAUGAUAUGAAGACGAAGGGGCAGAAAUAGAGAAUGGCCUUUGAGUAUCUCGGCAUAUUUUGCACGCAAAACCACCACCCUCUUCCAAACUUCAAGGCACCCAUUUUCUCCCCCCCCCGCCCGCAUUACAAUUGGUUGGAGAGAUUGUACCCUGAAUGAAAUCGUUUAUAACCAGUGAUAAAGGUGUGCCGAAUUGGAUGUGGGAAGAUGAUUUCGUUUCAUUUCCAUUUACUUUCAAAUGUAUCAUGUUACAUAGACAAAGCUAAACAAUUUGCAACUCCGAGUGUGACAUUGGACAGUACUUUUUACCUGUUAAGGUGCUCAGUUAAUUAUUUUUUCAAAGAAUUAUUCUUGCAGUGCUAUUCGCCUGUCUGGAUUCUUUAUGAGUGUUAAAUAUAGUGCUUGCUAAUUGGUUCCUUUACAAUGGUAUGCAAAUUAUGGCUUUGACGUUGUCUCUGCCCCAACCAAGUAUGCACAGUUUUCAAGCUGCUUUACGUAAAUGCUGGGAACGAGCCAUUAAAAUAUGACUACAAAAGCCCCGUUCCUGGAAAUCUUAAGGAGGAAAAAUCUAGAAUUGAUUACAGAGGCAGGCGUUCAAAUUCUUCCCUAUGAUUACCCUUGGUGAAUUCAAAACCAAACAUUGUUGGUUUUGAAUAAAUUAAUUUAUUUAAUCAUUCAGUUGUGUGACGAGUGGACGAGUUGGCAAUAACAAAAACGCCCUAAAGCGGACAUAAUAUGUGAAAAUAUGUUACUAUCAAAGGGCGUCUACAGGCAAAGGCACUAGAUAUAUCUUAUAUGUAACAUAUCGUGAGCAAAGGUGAUUGUUUAUAAUACCAGUAGACAUGAUAGACGGAUGCCAAUUAUAUGAGAAGCAGAAUAAUAUGAAUAAUGAUAUUAGAGUUUUUUUUUCAAUAUUCAUAAUGCAUGUAACAAUGGGUCUGAUGUGAUGUUUGCUCAUACUGUCAAUAGACAUGAGAGACGGAUAGAUGUCAAGCCAAUAUGAGAAGCAAAAUGAUAUGAAUAAUGAUACUAGUACUAGUAUUUGUUUUCAAUUUUCAUAAUGCAUGCAACGAUGGGCCUAAUAUCUAAUUUUUGAAUCACUUUCGCUUUUCUUGCUUGUUAAAAUCAAAUAUAUUUUAUACAAAAGAUUUUAAAACUUUUAUUGAAACUAUUGUUCACUAAUAUUGAGAGAAGAAAUUUAUAUUUUUAAUCGUAUUAUUAUAAUAAUUGGUGAGACGAAAGUUGUAUUUUUUUCGUAAUAUUAUACCGAUUAUCUCACCUAAAAUGUGUGUAGCAUUGUAAGUGGAAAAUUGCAUUUGGUAUUUUAUGUCUUGCUUCUCGGUAGAUUUUUCAUCCCUUGUUCUAAAUAUUGUAAAUGAAUUUUUAACAAUUCUAAUUAUUAUUAAAAAAUAAUUCGAUGGUCAAUUAUCAAAAAACCUAUAUUAACAGUAAUGAAUGCAUGUAAAUUUUAAGAAAUAGUUGCAUAAAUUUGUCUUUAUGCUUGUGUGCUUUUAAAUAUUAGGGGGCUUACUGUUUUCAUGACUGCCUUGUUUCGCGAUCUUUUAAAAAUAUAUGACGUUCAUAUUUUCUGGGCUGCAGGAAUUUUAAUUUUGAUAUUAUAAUACUUAUUUUACCUUGCGUCAUUUAGAGAAAUUUAAGCGUAUAGAUAAUCAUGGUGCUAUUUUGGUCUCCGAGAGGCACGAAUAAUGAAUGGUUAUCUGGAGUAUGUCAACUUACAUUUUGUUCCCAACAUGGUUAUGUCAAAGACCAUGGGCCUGUUGCAGAAAGAGUUGCGUUUAAACGCAAGUCCCGAAUGCGGGUGCUUCAUUGGCUGAAAAUCAAGUAGCGCAAGAUUGUUUAGUUGCGUUUGAUUGCAACUUUUUCUGCAACGGGCCCCCAGCGCUUAAAAAGCUAAUACAGUGGUAUUAUGGGAAUAAAAACUGCGCCUGCUGAAAGGGCUCUUGAUCUAUGAUUAUAAUAAUAAUUAUUUGGGUUUAUAUUGAAUAUUGUGAAAAUAUUAAAUGAAAAAAUAGAACCAAUUGAAGAA